rnacentral:rRNA from 1 species
AUCUGUCCCUAGUACGAGAGGACCGGGAUGGACAUACCUCUGGUGGACCUGUCGUGGCGCCAGCCGCGCAGCAGGGUAGCUAAGUAUGGAAUAGAUAACCGCUGAAAGCAUCUAAGCGGGAAACUAACCUCAAAACAAGGUUUCGCCGAGAGCCGUGGUAGACCACCACGUUGAUAGGCCAGGUGUGGAAGUGCCGCGAGGCAUGCAGCUUACUGGUACUAAUCGCUCGAUCGGCUUGAUCGU